AACGCACAUGGCGCCCGCCAGCACUCUGGCGGGCAUGCCUGUCCGAGCGUCGCCUCCACCCGUCGGCCCGGCCGUGCUGGGGCACAGCGGCAGCGCUGGCCCCGAAAGGGAGUGGCGGGGCCGCCGCCGCGCCGAGCGUAGUAGCACACGUCGCUCCGGUGCGGGGGCGCCCCCGGCCUCGAAACGCAGACCCAACGACGACCUCGGAUCAGGUAGGAAUACCCGCUGAACUUAA
rnacentral:misc_RNA from 1 species